UACGAAGGGGGCUAGCGUUGCUCGGAAUCACUGGGCGUAAAGGGUGCGUAGGCGGGUCUUUAAGUCAGGGGUGAAAUCCUGGAGCUCAACUCCAGAACUGCCUUUGAUACUGAGGAUCUUGAGUCCGGGAGAGGUGAGUGGAACUGCGAGUGUAGAGGUGAAAUUCGUAGAUAUUCGCAAGAACACCAGUGGCGAAGGCGGCUCACUGGCCCGGUACUGACGCUGAGGUGCGAAAGCGUGGGGAGCAAACAGGG
rnacentral:rRNA from 1 species